AGCAUGUGGUUUAAUUCGAAGCAACGCGAAGAACCUUACCAGAUCUUGACAUCCAAUUGACCAUCUUUAUCGAGAUUUUGCCUCGGGUACAAUUGAGACAGGUGGUGCAUGGUUGUCGUCAGCUCGUGUCGUGAGAUGUUGGGUUAAGUCCCGCAACGAGCGCAACCCUUGUGUUUAGUUGCAAACAGGUCAAGCUGUGCACUCUAGACAGACUGCCGUGGACAACACGGAGGAAGGUGGGGAUGACGUCAAAUCAUCAUGCCCCUUAUGAUCUGGGCUACACACGUGCUACAAUGGCCGGUACAACGGGCAGCGAAGGAGCGAUCCGGAGCGAAUCCUAAAAAGCCGGUCCCAGUGCGGAUUGCAGGCUGAAACUCGCCUACAUGAAGUUGGAGUUGCUAGUAAUCGCGAAUCAGAAUGUCGCGGUGAAUGCGUUCCCGGGUCUU
rnacentral:rRNA from 1 species